UACGGGGGGGAGCAAGCGUUGUUCGGAUUUACUGGGCGUAAAGGGCGCGUAGGCGGCCACCGCAAGUCGACUGUGAAAUCUCCGGGCUUAACCCGGAAAGGUCAGCCGAUACUGCGGGGCUAGAGUGCAGAAGGGGCAACUGGAAUUCUCGGUGUAGCGGUGAAAUGCGUAGAUAUCGAGAGGAACACCUGCGGCGAAGGCGGGUUGCUGGGUUGACACUGACGCUGAUGUGCGAAAGCUAGGGGAGCGAACGGG
rnacentral:rRNA from 1 species